CACUACAAUUUUGGGACUGUAUUGAACAGAAUUCAAUAUUUUAUAUAUAUAUAUAUAUAUAUAUAUAUAUAUAUAUAUAUAUAUAUAUAUAUAUAUAUAUAUAUUUAAGGAUACCAUAUGACACCUUAACAGGAAUACCCUCAUGAUAUCAUUACCAGCCACCAGUGAAUACUUUGUAUUAAGGGUGACCCCCUUACUGCUACUGGGGUGACCCCACACUUACUGGAGUGCCUAUGUUUAUGUGUUUACGUACUCAAGUGACAAUACCUGGAUUAUAUCAUUACCAACUGCCUGUGGCAACAUUAUAUUAAGGGUGACCCCCUUACUGCUAAUGGGGUGACCCCCCACAUUCUAGAGUGCCUUUACUUAUAUGUGUGCAAAUAUAAGUUAAUUGACGCAGAGGUACAGCUCUGUUGUCUAACUGGGAUGUACCACACAUCCACACGCCCCGACCAGUCGGUGGGCAGUUUUUACGGUAACCACCUCCAUAGUACCUGUCCCAUCCUAUGGGACAAUGCAGGGGCGACCCCCUUCCCCAGUAGGGAGAGUUGGAUCAGGUAGACGCUAGUGGUCAGACCACGGUGUUGAGAUAACUCUUAGGGUAAAUUGAGAGAUUUAUUUAUUUAUUUAUAUUUUGUGUGAGGCUUUUCAUCUGCAUUUAGACCAGAUUACCUGGUCCCUUGUUCUCUGGGGACCCUGUGCCUUUUCUCUCUCCCUAACCUCGUUUACACUACCUUCCCGUCAGUCGGACACUAGGGGAACUGGAACUUAGAUGCUAGUUAGUACUCUAGACAAUUGAUCCCCUGGGUACCAUUUAGUAGAGCUCCAUUUUUUUUUUCCAAGUUAUACUUUUUGUUUGCAUAUCCCUUUUUAUCCUUAGAUUGAUUAAAGGUAGGGCCCCCCUUCCUCAUUUCUUAUACAAUGGAGCUCUCCUGAUGUUAGUUUCCCCUUGUGGGACUCUAUACAUCACCUACUCCUAUUUCCUACAUAUAUAUUUUGGGCCACAAUUUUUGACAGGUAAAUAACUUAUUCGUUAGUAGUUCAAUUUAUUUGAGUAAUUCCACAAAUGGACAAUGACUAAACAUAGUGGUAUUUUAUAUUCAAAACUGAGACAACUGUUCUGCGAGUGGAUAAUUCUAGAAAUAACCAGAUUAAUUUGCCGUCACAUUCACCCAACCGAUUAGUUUGUAUGUGAAUAUCUGAAAGUGUGAGUGUAGGGAAAAAAAUGUGUACACUUGAGCAGCUCAAUGAGAAUAUCCAAGCAGUAUUUCGAGCGCUAGAGCCUCAAACAUUAACUAAUGUUAUGGACAAUGCAAUCCAAAGAGCCCGAUUUUGCAAGGAGGCAAAUUAAGAUCAUUUAAAAUAUGACAUCUUCCCUACCUAGUCAAACAAAUCUCCAUAUGUUAAGCAUUCAUUAUAUGUAAUAUGAUUGAAAUUGGUUAAUUAAUAAAAAAGUUAUUGACUUCUCAAACCCAACUCUGAAUUUUGGCACCCCAUUUACAUGUAAUAUGUAAACAUAUGUAAACAAUAUUCCAUGUAUGUAAUCAAAGAUGGAUGAGAAAUGUGUGCUAGGACAGCAAAAUAGAUAGUAAACAUCAGGAAUUCUUUACAUUUUUACAAUACUUAUUGAUCUAAAAAAUAUGACUUUGCAAGGUAUACUUUUUACAAUAUCUCAGUGAUACCAGGUACAGAAAUACAAAAGUUUAAUUUUAAUCUAAUAAGAUCCUGACAAUUUAAGGUUGAAUUCUUCAACAUUUAAAAACAGAAUUAAUAUUAACCAGUAUUUCCCAUUUAGUAUAUAGAAGCAUCAUAAGCAGUGGUAACGAGACAUGGUGCCUAGGGUUAUAUACCAAAUAAUAAAUGUAUUUUUCUUUUCAUUGAACUUGGAAAACUUGAGUAAUGGCAUGUGAGGCUUCCAGGAAUGACUAGAACAGUACAUUUCUGUCCCAAGGCUACUGACAUAUUAAUAGAUAAUUUGCAAGUACUUUACAAUUUUAAAUGUACAGAUGUACAGUGUUGCACCAAAUGAUGCUCAUAGGGAGCAAAGAUGACAAGUAACAUGUAAUUUAUAUUUUAUGUUUAAUACAGUGUGUCCUGAACCUGUUAUGUUAUGUUUAGUAAUGCAGAAUGUGCCAGUGUUUACAGAACAUUGUAACCUGUGGCACCGAUUGCUGGAUACUGUAAGCUGCGUCUCUGAUUGGAGUCAGUAGUCCAUCCAAAUAGAACCGAACUGGGCAUUUUUUAAUCGCAGUGGCUCAAUGAGGGAAGUGUUCAGUCAUCACCAAUGAAAAGUAAUCCCCAAGAAGGUGAUUAUGUUGGUUCAAUGCUCUUCCAGGUACUUGUAUGAGAAAAAAGACUAUGUUUGUUCUGUGCAGCACAAGUAAAUUUGCUUGUGACUUGCCUUUGAUGUCUCCAUAAGUGGGAUAAUAGAGAUGAAAGGGCGUGUGUGUGAAUGGUGCAGGGUGCAAUGUUGAAAAGCUAGAGUUCACUCUCCUGAAAUUCAGUACUGUAAGAUUGUUGCCAUGGUAACUAUGGCAAUGCUCCGAGCAUGCAAGAAGAACAUCCCAGCGGAGAUGCAGGCUUGAGCCCCCAGGUCUUUCUCUCCCUGCUCCUUGUCUCAGUGAACUGCCUGUGGGAUAGUGAGGGAGAUCUUUGAUCUUCUCACUGGCCCAUGAAGGCACACAGCAAGGCCGGCAGGAGAGAUCCUCUGAUCUCCCCUGUCGGCCUUGUUACAUAGUCAUUGCUGUCCACUGUGCUCAUACCAUGCUUGCCCAUUGGCCAGUCCAGGCCUGCAUCCAAGUAACAAAGUAACUGACAGCAAUUAAGUCAGUUGUAGAAGGCUUUCUGUAUUCACAUUUAUUCUGUCUAUGUUGUUAAAACGUCUUAAUUGGAUUUUUCAGUUUUUUGAGAAAACAGUAUUACAGUAAGAGAAUAAACAUGGUAUCACAAGUGCCAAACAGUAUUGCACUAGAAGAUGUACACAGUCACAAGCAAAUAUUUACAUGAGCGUUACAUAUGUAUUACAUGGUCGUUUUAAAACUGUCAUCAGUUUAGGUCAGGAAAGAAAAAAAAUAAAAUAAAAGAUGUACAUAUUCUUACAUUCACAAGUGUGUAGCGUGCAUCUCUGUAGUUGUAGGUACCAUGUAUGGGUGAGGUAGGAGAGGAAAUGGACUAGGAAGAAGAUAGGUGAAGAAGAGAAAGGAAACAUGUACUUGUAACAUAUCCUAAGUUUAAAAAAAAAUAGGGUAUUCAGUCAGGGUAUAGUGCUUACUAUACCUUCCACAUUUCGGCAGUGCAUCUUCGAUCUGACUGGGAAGUUGCCACCAUUUUUUCGUAUAUACAGUAUUGACAUGUUUUUUCUAUUAACUGGGCUUUAGUGGGGCAUAUAGUUUGUUUCCAGGAUAUUGCAAUCAGAUGCCUUGCGGCUAGUGAGACCAUUACCACCAGCUACCUGUUUUGUUUGGGCAGAGGGUGAGGGAAUUUCAAGAAAAGAUAAGUGGUAGGGUCAUGUGUAAUUAAUGGAAUGGUGGGAGCCCUUUGGACUUCCGUCACUCCCUCCCUUAGUGGUUGAAUAUCCCAGUAGUCACACCAGAUGUGGUGCAUGGUGCCCUCUUCUGUUCAGCAUCUCCAGGAGAAGGCUGGAACAUUAGGGUAUAUUUUAUGCAGUUUGUUGGGUGUUAGGUACCAGCGGUAGAUGAGUUUCCUAUGGGCCUAUAUAUGUGAAUAUCAUUUCGUAAUACCUUUAAGUGCAUUGAUAGUGGCAAUCCAAUCUGUAUCCUGGGGGAGUUGCCACAUUCCUUGGCCCAUUGGCUCUCAAAAGGGAGAGUGCUACUUGUAAUGGUGUGUAUUAAGGAUUUAUAACAUGUAGAGAGUAGUUUGGGUCUGCAUGGAGCUUUCCAGCAGAGGUGAUGCAAUACUUGCACCGGUAGGGGCUGUCUGGGGCCUCACAGCUGCCUAAACCACCUUAGGGCAGACUAAUGUGUCUCGAUAUCCCACCAGGUGCGAGGCCCCUCCGUGCCAUCUGCCUGGGGGGAGAGCGCCCGUGGCUGCCAGUCUGCAGCUUCGCAGUGUGCAGAGCUGCAGACCAUGUGUCUCGUGAGAUCUGGCCAAUCAGAGCGUUGUCAUGGGUUACCACGGCAAUGCUCUGAACAGGUCUCGUGAGGUGCAUGGUCUGCAGCUCUGCACACUGCAGAGCUGCAGAUGGAAAUCACCACCAGACCACCAACGCAUGAAGGACACUGGACCACCAGGGAUUUAAGGUAUUCAAUCUCAGCCCCCUACUACACCAC
rnacentral:lncRNA from 1 species